AUACGUAGGUGGCAAGCGUUGUCCGGAAUUAUUGGGCGUAAAGCGCGCGCAGGCGGUCCUUUAAGUCUGAUGUGAAAGCCCACGGCUCAACCGUGGAGGGUCAUUGGAAACUGGGGGACUUGAGUGCAGAAGAGGAAAGUGGAAUUCCAAGUGUAGCGGUGAAAUGCGUAGAGAUUUGGAGGAACACCAGUGGCGAAGGCGACUUUCUGGUCUGUAACUGACGCUGAGGCGCGAAAGCGUGGGGAGCAAACAGGAUUAGAUACCCUGGUAGUCCACGCCGUAAACGAUGAGUGCUAAGUGUUAGGGGGUUUCCGCCCCUUAGUGCCGCAGCUAACGCAUUAAGCACUCCGCCUGGGGAGUACGGUCGCAAGACUGAAACUCAAAGGAAUUGACGGGG
rnacentral:rRNA from 1 species